rnacentral:rRNA from 1 species
GACGAACGCUGGCGGCGUGCUUAACACAUGCAAGUCGAACGGAAAGGCCCUGCUUUUGUGGGGUGCUCGAGUGGCGAACGGGUGAGUAACACGUGAGUAACCUGCCCUUGACUUUGGGAUAACUUCAGGAAACUGGGGCUAAUACCGGAUAGGAGCUCCUGCUGCAUGGUGGGGGUUGGAAAGUUUCGGCGGUUGGGGAUGGACUCGCGGCUUAUCAGCUUGUUGGUGGGGUAGUGGCUUACCAAGGCUUUGACGGGUAGCCGGCCUGAGAGGGUGACCGGCCACGUUGGGACUGAGAUACGGCCCAGACUCCUACGGGAGGCAGCGGUGGGGAAUAUUGCACAAUGGGCGGAAGCCUGAUGCAGCAACGCCGCGUGCGGGAUGACGGCCUUCGGGUUGUAAACCGCUUUCGCCUGUGACGAAGCGUGAGUGACGGUAAUGGGUAAAGAAGCACCGGCUAACUACGUG